ACUCAUACCUGGCGAUGGAGAUACCAUUAUUGUAAAAGUGGUUUUCCCAGGGUAAGGCUCAUCUAUUGCACUCUGGAUGUGCUGACCUCUGUGAUUUCCCCAAAUGUGGGAAAAUCAACUGCCUAAGUGGGGAACUGUGUGAUUUCCACAGGUCUUUC
rnacentral:snRNA from 1 species